AUGGACAGGAAUCUCUUCCUUCCUAGUGGGGAAAGGAACAUGGCGACUGUUGGGGUUGAUGGGACACUUUGGGGGAUCCGGAAGGCCAAAAAAUAUGGCAUGUUUCGAGCUGCGAUCCCAGCGCACUGCUCUUUCAUGUUUGCUACUGGAUUAGCAACCGUUGGAGCUUGGUACAAGUGGAGGGAAAAAGGGGAGGCGUCGCAACAGGGCGCAAAGCUCAUGGCAUCUGAAGCGUUCCAUUUUCUUCCGGAAAGGAGGAUAACUCCCAGCCUCUGCCAUCAAAGCAAUGCACACAGCCAUCCAUGGAGGCAGGAGUCUUCUCUCUUCUGGGUGGCUGUAUUGUAUUGGUAUUGCUCUUCUCUUUUCUAUCUCUUGCGCGCCGUGCCUCUACUACGUCUACGUACCAGCUGGUUCAUCUCCGGUUAA
rnacentral:rRNA from 1 species